rnacentral:rRNA from 1 species
CCCGUAGGGUGCGAGCGUUGUCCGGAAUUAUUGGGCGUAAAGAGCUCGUAGGCGGUGUGUCGCGUCGGCCGUGAAAACCUGUGGCUUAACUAUGGGCUUGCGGUCGAUACGGGCAUCACUGGAGUUCGGCAGGGGAGACUGGAAUUGCUGGUGUAGCGGUGAAAUGCGCAGAUAUCAGGAGGAACACCGGUGGCGAAGGCGGGUCUCUGGGCCGAUACUGACGCUGAGGAGCGAAAGCGUGGGGAGCGAACAGG